ACUACUAAUAUGAAAAGUUAUCGAUUUAAAUACAUCAUAUAGAUAUUUAUUCAUUUAUUCUGAAAGAUCAAGAAUUCCCCAAGGACAAAUUGAUAAGGUUAUUUAAUGAGAAAAAGGAUUGUACUAAUAAUGACACAUUUUUAAUAUUGAAUUAAAAUAGGAAGAAGCGAUAGAAGAAGAGGUGAUAGAAGAGGAGGAGGUAGAGGUAGAGGAAGAGAAUGUGAUAGAAGAUGAGGAAGACGAAGAAGAAGAUGAAGAGGAAGAAGGAUCGUCGUUAACGAUAGAAAUAAUACCUGGACCAGAGGAUGGGCUGUGUACAGGUCGAAAAGAAAAACCAGAAGAAUCAAGACUGGAACAAGAUUCUGGAGUUCCAACUGAACUAACAGUUCCUGGAUGUAGACUAGAUAUUGCCACAUCCAACCUGAAUCAAAAAUAAAAAGUACAGAUAUUGAAAA